rnacentral:tRNA from 1 species
GGCAGGAUGGCCGAGCGGUCUAAGGCGCUAGACUCAAGUGUUUCCACACUUCUGUUCCUUCAAGGACAGAGCAUUCUAGUAUCGAAAGGUGCGCGGGUUCGAAUCCCGCUCCUGUCA